rnacentral:lncRNA from 1 species
GAGUUUCAUCAUUUUUCCACCAAGUGUUGCAGGCUAUUUUGGUGGAAUCCAUCUCAUAUUGUCCAUAGUACAAUUUAUUUAAUAAAUAAAUGAUUUGAACAACUAACGCCUCAUAUAUAUUUACUAUCCGGCCAAGAACAAUGAAAUGAUCUUAGUAAAACACCUAGCCAACGCAAACAAAGUGUCAGUGUACAUCCAACUUAUCUAUUUCCAAACACAACUCCAAAAUCCUUCAAGCCACAUUAAAUCCUUACCAUAGCCAGUCUUCAACCCUUCAACAUCCUUCAAAUCCUUCAUAAGUCUUCUAAUUUCACAGUACAUCAACUUCAAACUGAACAUCAUUCCAUCUCUUUUAUCCAUUAUCUAUACAGCAUUUAAUAUCACAUUUUUUUCAGAUCUAACAGUAAAACAAAAAACCUAAACUCUUCAUAAUUCCCUGCAAUAAUUUAAGAAAUUUAGCGAUGAAGCAACAAAUCAUAUCAACUGUUGAAUGCCUACAAUUUUCUUAAAUUACCUUACCUCAUUCAACAACAAAUAGCAAGUCCAGGUGCUUCUAUUGUCUAACAGUUAUCACAAAUUCAUGCCAAAUACUUCAAUGUGCCAUACAAUGUGAUGCUUGAUGGAUAAAUAAUCAACUUUAGUAGCACUUAUUGUCCAAUCUAAAAUGGUCAUUUGCUUUUCUUUAUAAGUCCAAUUUAUAACUUCAAAUAAUCAGUUAUGAUUUCGAUUUAUAAUGAUUCUCAAAUAAACAGCCAUUGGAUAUUCAUUUACUUUUGAAUACACGGCAAAAUCCAUUACAUUAUCUUCGAUUAGACACAAUUCCAAGCUAACAAUUUGUGGCUACUACUUGAAGUCAUAAGAUGAAAAAUAAUACCUUUUUGCUUACUACAUCAGGCGAUCUAACAAAGAUGAUUCUGUCAACAGAGGACACCAAUGCAUUUCCUGUCCUACCAUCUUACCCAUCUUAGUGGCUUCCCUUUUUACCGAAAAAGUCCAACCAAAGUCCAAUCCACCCAAACUCACCAUUAUUAACUGUAAAUUUUGAAAGAAAAAUGACAUCAAAUUACUUGUUAGCAUAAUGACCAAAACUUGCAAAGGAAAACAUCAUACACCAACCAUUCCAUAGAAUCAAGCCUCUGUGUUUUAAGUAUUAUUAAUGUUCAAGCCAAAGAAAACAUAGAAGGAUAUCCAAGGAGCAUUUCUCUUUAUUCAAUAACCAUAAGUUCCUCUCUUCAUCAUCGCUUUCUUUUCCUGCAACCAAUAAAUCCCAUGUCAACUUGUAGCUAUAAAUCUUCAUUCCAGACAUAAAGAUGAACAAAAAGAAUUGAUAUUUAAUUAUGAACAAACAAAAGACCCUUUAUCGGUUUGAUAAAACGUUUGAAAACUGAUAACUCAAAUUGCAUUCAAAUAGACAUAUGUCCAACAUCCAAAGCUACAACAAAUGAAAAAAGAUCACAAAAAAACCAUUUACAGGGUUAGUAAAUAAAACCAGAUCGACAAAUCAACAUACAAACACACCCCAACACACACGGUUAAACUAACAUCAAUCUUAUAGAAGGAUAGAAUGACAAACCUUGAUGAUGUGGAAAUUCGUUUAGGGGUUUUAUGGAGAGAAAAAAAGGAUUGCGGGUGGAUUUGGUGUGCAAUCGAAAACAGGAAGAUCGUGUACCAAAUUUAUGGAUACUCCUUAACGCCAAUCAAUACAACAAAAAAAUACCUUUAGGUUUAGUACCCACGCUUUCUUUUCUUUCCUUAGUGUCCUCUUAACCUCAAAUCACAAUAGCCAAAAAAAAAUAUAAAGAAACACCUGUGAACAUAAAACACAUUGAAACACACAAACACACCUAAAGUUAGAGAGAGUGAGAGAGAGAGAGAGAGAGACUUCGGUGGUGCGAAGAUGGUGCUGUGGAUCCAUAUCCAUGACUAAAAACAUGUAAAAAGAAAAUAAGAAUAUGAAUUACUUCCAGUGACAAUAAAAUGACGACAGGAACAAAAACUUCAAAAUUACUAACCCAAAAAUAAAGAUGAUAAAUCGGAUCAACAUACAUUCUCAAACAAUGGUGGUGAAUGUCGUUAGUAAGGGAAAGGAAAGGUGGAGGGGAAAUAGUUCUGACGACGGUGAUUAGUGGUGAGAAAGGGUUUCUAGAUCCAAUCUACAGUGGUGAAGGUCGUGGAGGCGAUAAAGAGUUGUGGUAGAAGGCGAAAGGAGACAGAGCCAAUGUGGUGGUGGUCGGAAUUCCAUAGUUGGGGUUUCUUUGACCGAUAGAGAGAUAGAGAGAAUGAAU